AGAGUUGAUUAUGGCUCAGAACGAACGCUGGCGGCAGGCCUAACACAUGCAAGUCGAGCGCGCCCUUCGGGGGUGAGCGGCGGACGGGUUAGUAACGCGUGGGAACGUACCCUUUGGUAGGGAAUAGCCACUGGAAACGGUGAGUAAUACCCUAUGAGCCCUUCGGGGGAAAGAUUUAUCGCCAAAGGAUCGGCCCGCGUUAGAUUAGGUAGUUGGUGGGGUAAUGGCCUACCAAGCCUACGAUCUAUAGCUGGUUUUAGAGGAUGAUCAGCAACACUGGGACUGAGACACGGCCCAGACUCCUACGGGAGGCAGCAGGUGGGGAAUCUUGGACAAGUGGGGGCAACCCUGAACUCCAGCCACGCCGCGUGAGUGAAGAAGGCCUUAGGGUCGUAAAGCUCUUUCGCCUGUGAAGAUAAUGACGGUAGCAGGUAAAGAAACCCCGGCUAACUCCGUGCCAGCAGCCGC
rnacentral:rRNA from 1 species